rnacentral:ncRNA from 2 species
UGCUUAUCAUGAGUGGUGGAGGGAUUGGCCCUAUGAAGCCCGGCAACCGGUACGUACACACGGUGCUAAUUCCAACAGAGUUUAUUCUGGUAGAUGAGAA